rnacentral:lncRNA from 1 species
GCCAGGCUUCCUCCGUGGGCCCCGAGGCUUCGCGGGCCGCAGCUGAGUCACUGCCAAGAGCGGGCCCGGCAGGUGGCGGACAGGCUUGUCAGAGCCAGGAAGAGCAGCUGCCGCCGGCGCCUCCGGGAGCUGGCUGAGAGCAAGUCCGCAGGCCCGAGGAGGAGCCGAGGGCAGCGCAGUGACUGUCGCGGGUGUCAUUCUGGACGCAGGAAGUACGCUUGUCUUGGUUUGCUUUAAAAUAGGGUUCGUGUUUCCCCGACAGGCGAAUUUCAUCCCCUGCGCGCCCCACUACAGCGCCGGCUGCGCAGCCCCGGCCCUCUCCCCACCACCCGGGCUGAGUGGCCCUCGCAGCCGCCAGUGCCCCAGCGCUGGGAGCUGCCCUAGAGCCCGAAGGCGCUGCGCCAGCGCGGGGCAUCAGGAGUCUGACCCCGAAAAUGCCGGACCUCCUAGCCCGGCAGGCAGACUAAUCGUGGGGUGAGUUACAGAAAGGAAAAAGAAAAAACCCCUUCCGAUUAAGAGUUUUGCUUUUCAGACUCCUUCCCUGCCCAUUAACACGCAGCAAAAUGACAAUAACAGUUGCGUAACUGCGGUAUCCUAAGGAAACUCCUUUGUUUACCUUAUGAAAACCAGCUGGUGAGAUGCAGUCUGACCAUUGACUCACCCACAGCGGGGAGAACUGGGUAAGAUCAUCACAAAGAAUCUUCUCCAGGGCGGCUUGAGUGUUAAAACGUCCCACUCUUGAACACCGAAAAGAGUGAUGAUCCCAGCUGAAUACUCCCAAGUAAAAGUGAUUCUCCUAGGAAGGGCUCACUGCUUUUUGUUAGUUUGCUUGUGUGAUAUUUACUCCAAAAUGUUUUCUAGCUUCCCCAUCUUUGAAAAAUUAGGCUCUGAGAUAAGAAUGCAAUUGGUUACCUCUCUCUUUUUUUUCCUAUUAGAAUUCAGCCACCUACCCAAACAAUAUGAAGAUUUCCUAUGUUGAACCUGCCAUUCUCCUUAACUCCUUUGCUCUGUCUUUGAUCUCUCCACUGACGACACAAUACCUGUAUAGGAGAAUAUGGGAAGAAACAAGCAACUACAGCUUUGCCCUUGAUAACAAUAUUUCUGAGUGUGACAAAAACAAAAGCAGCCCAAUUUUUGCAGUCCAGAAGGUAAGACAUUAAAAUAUCCCUAAAAUGUAAUUAAAGAGGGUAUGACACUUAUGCUUUGGCCUCUCAAGAAUGACUAUUAAAGUCCCAAAUUGCAGACCAAUAGCAUUCACUGGGCUCUCAUCUCAUUUGACAUUUCCCAACAUCUGUAAUCUGCCUUUUUUUUUUUUUUUUUUGUACUGGGGAUUGAACUCAGGGCUCUCAACCACUGUGCUACAUCUCCAACCCUAUUUUGUAUUUUAUUUAGAGACAGGGUCUCGCAGAGUUGCUUAGCACCUCAAUGUUGUGAAGGCUGGCUUUGAAUUUGGGAUCCUCCUGUUUCAGCCUCCCCAGCCACUGGGAUUACAGGCAUGUGCCAUGGUGCCCGGCUAUAAUCUGCCUUUUCUUCUUCUUCUUUUUAUUUUUAUUUUUUUUUGAGGGAGGGUGAUAUGGGGGGUCUUGCUUAGAUGCCAAGGUUAACCCAGAGCUCACCAUGUUCCUGCCUCAGCCUCCCAAGUAGCUGGGAUUAUAGGCAUAUGCCAGACUGGCAGUCUGCCUUUUCUUGAAACCUACUUCUUGUGAGACGCUAGUUCUUGUUUCUCUUAGAAAAUCCCAGCACAGUCUGAGAUCUCUGCCCCCCAAAAAAAUAAUUUUAAAAAAUAGUCUGAAAACUUAGGCCAAGGCCUGCUGGGAUGAGCUACUCGGUGGACACAGUGGAUAGAGGUGGGUGAAACAUGGUAUGUCUACCUCUCCCUUGUCCUCUUCCUCCCAGCUCCCUUCUACUGCACCUGCAUGUCACAGUUUUUAGGGACUCCAGAAAGUGAUCCAACAUGUAAACUGGCCAGGGGUCUGUCAUGGGGUAGAAGUGGAGCAGCACAUGUCACUUGUCAUCUGGUAGCAUUAAGAAAUCAGCCUUGACUCCCAUAUGUUGAAAUGUGAGGACAUCUAGAGUGAGGAGUGCUCACUUUUGCUCUCUGGACACUGAAAACAUUCAGCUAGAUGUUAUGGGGCCUUCCCACCUCCCUUACUUUGUAUUUGUUUACAACAGGAGGUACUUUACCAUCCUCCUGAGCCUUUCAACAGUUUUGGACAAAAGUCUACUGAUGUCCAAAUGCAAAAGAAGUGGCUGUCAGAUGUGGAAAUGCUUUCCUCUAUAAUGCCUCAAAAAUAAACCAUGCAUAUAAAUUCAGAACUCUUCCUCUUGGGGAUUUUUUGUGAUGGCAAGAAUGACGCUGCCACUCACAGAAGAGUUUAAGGAAAUGGAGUUGCCUCCCCUGGCUCUGAGAGUCUGCCUGUGAAAGGAGUCUGAGGAGAAGAAGUGGCAGAGAGCCCUAGGGCUCGUGCCCACCCCGUGUCCCCCCAGGUGUCUGGUGGAAGCUAGCUGGGGCAAGGCCCAGGUGUUUGGCUCAGUCCCUGAUUUUACUCAUUUCCUUAUUUCCAUUUUCCUGAAACUGCUGAAUUCUGGGCAGCUGUGCACACAGCAAGGUUCUGGCCUAGAGUAAGGUUGUAAUGAGAGAAGGGCCAAGGGCCUCACUGAGCAUUUUGUGUCCCUUCCAGGAUGUCUCAUUAUACAUCCUUCCCUUGAGCAAGAAGGCUCCAUGGGAUCAUCAUUCCUGUGUUUGGUUCUGUGUUUUCCUUCACCUGGCCCCUGGGAGCAGGCCCCCUUGUUCCUGUGGGAGGGCCCUGGGCAGAGAGGACCUGAAUGUCUGCUGUACCUGCCCUCCUGGACUCAGGGAAGACUGGCCUUGGUCCAGCCAUCUUGGUGGCCUCUGUGGCUAAGCAGGUAAAAAGUGCUAGUCCCCACCUCGAGCCUGGUCCAGCUGCUAAGAGCCCCCUAGAGCAGUGGUCUCAUUUAGAAGAUUUUGGCCCAACUUUCAAACUGAUUUGUUUGUAUUUAUUUAUUUAGUUAGUUAGUUUGGGGUCUGGGGUUUGAACUCGGGGGCACUCAACCACUGAGCCACAUCCCCAGGCCUAUUUUGUAUUUUAUUAAGAGACAGGGUCUCACUGAGUUGCUUAGCACCUCACUAUUGCUGAGUCUGGCUUUGAACUAGCAAUCCUCCUGCCUCAGCCUCCCAAGCUGCCUGAGAUUACAGGUGUGCGCCACCAUGCCCAGCUCAUGUAUUAUUUUUAAUUGGAUUUAUACUCAAGAGAACAUACUAUCUUGAUCCCUUCUCUUAAAGAUGGUACUCUUAGACCCAUGGUGCUUUUCCUCGGAGUGGGGAACUGAAAACCACCCACUCCCCCACUCUGCUAUUCCCAGCUAUGACCGAGACAGGAAGUGCUGGGAGACAUGUCAUUUACAAAGGAACAUGUUUGUAAAGAAAUCACCAUCACCUUCAGCACUUCCUUUGGGUCCCUUUUCAGGAUCCUAUCCCUGCUGUGCUCAGAGAACACCCUCUCCCUCUAAAUCCAAGAGCAAAUGUGUCCUGUUCUCUCAACUUCCAUCUCUACCAUCCAGCUCGUCUGGUCGGGCUCUGGUUACUCCAAGUUUAGGGCUUGGCAGACUGUUUUUAAAACUGAAAGGAUAAGAGAUGUCACAGCAUGGGGUGAGUCCCUAAUAAACAGAUCAAUCACUUUUUCAGCUCAAAUUUUUCUUUUGUUUUCCUCCCAAAAAGAUCAAUUGUGUGUAAAAGGACAGUGAAAAUUAUGAUAACAGACUCUUUACUGCUGUGCCAUAUUCAUUUAUCCUUCCUACCUAACCAGUAUGCACCCGUGCCUAGGUAUUAGCAUGCAAGAUACUAUUAUAAAUUUCAGGGUGUAGAUAGAAUAAACUGAGCUCUCGCACUUUGCAUUUGACAUUUUGAUAGUUUAUAUGAGUGAAAGUCUUAUUUUUCAACUCAUUUUGUAUUAAUACGUGCACAUACAUGUAUAUCUACAAACACACACUCAUAGAAAUAAUAUUAUAUUGCUCAAACCUAUUUUUCAAAUCUUAAAGUAUUCUGAGCCCUCUAACUGGAAGGGACACCUAUAUAUUUCUCUUCAGCAAUGGGGUUAAUCUCAGAAGGACCUUUAACAAAAAGUCAAGGCUGUGGCGGGGAACUUUGCCUAGGGAACAAAGAGAGAAGGAAUUCUGGGCAUAUUUGUUGAUUUUUGAAAAUGACAUGGAAUAUUUUCUAUUCAACUGGAAUUCACUUAUACAUUUUACUCUAUGAAAUUGUAACUUCUUUUUUUUUUCAAGUAGGAACAAGAGAGAGAGAGAAUUUUAAUAUUUAUUUUUUAGUUUUCGGCAGACACAACAUCUUUGUUUUAUGUGGUGCUGAGGAUCGAACCCGGGCCGCACGCGCUACCGCUUGAGCCACAUCCCCAGCCCUGUAACUUCUUUAACAUAGAUUUACUGCUUUCCUUCAUUUAUUCUUUUUUUUAUUUAGAAUAGAGAGAGAAUUUUUUAAUAUUUAUUUUUUAGUUUUCAGUGGACACAACAUCUUUAUUUUAUUUUUAUGUGGUGCUGAGGAUCGAACCCAGAGCCCCGCGCAUGCCAGGCAAGCACGUUACUGCUUAAGCCACAUCCCCAGCCCUUCAUUUAUUCUUUCCUUAGGACAUUGUCAUUCUGUGCAGUCUUGGAUAGAAAAUAGCAUUUUUUAAACUUCUCCUAUCUACUCCUAUGUGAUAUGUUAACUAUCUUCCUCCAGAGUUUAAACACACGCAUGCGUACACCCACAUGCACAAUUUUUUUCUUAUGUUUCAAUUAUGAUUUAUGGUGGAAUGUGCUUCGAGUUUGUCCUUGUUAAAAUCUGUAUUUUAAAAUUCAGGUUACAGAUGAGGAAGUAGUCUGUGUACUAGACUGGGUUAGGAAUGGUAAUAAAAAGAGGAAGACAGAACCUGGGUGGUGGGAUAGAAACGGGGAGGAGGAAACCAAAACUAGAACAUCUGGUUUAGAAGCUGAUUAUAAGGUAACUUUUACUUAUUUAUUUAUUCAAUAAAUAUUUACUUGAUGGCACUGUAUCUGUAAGAGAUACAAAGAUGUGCUCAGGAUGUUUUAUCCAGAAAAAGGAAAUAGGUCAAAUUGAUUGAGCACUAACUGUGCUAGGGCCUUGUUUAUUUUAUUUUAUUUUUUAAUUUAUUUGUUCUAGUCAAUUACACAUGACAGCAGAAUGUUCUUCGAUUCAUUGUACACAAAUGGAGCACAAGUUUUCACUUCUCUGGUUGUAAGCCAAGUAGGGUCGCAUCACUCAUGCAAUCGUACAUGCACCUACGUAAUGAUGUCAGUCUCAUCCCAGCAUCUUUCCUACCCCCAUGCCCCCUCCCUUCCCCUCCUUAUUUAUUUUAUAUGUUUAGCAUCUUAUGUUUGUUUUAAAUGUAACCCUACCAAUAGCCUGUGAAGUAGAGACAACAUUCAUAUCUGUCAGAUGAAGAAGCUAUGGAGAUAAAUAAUUUGGUCAGAUCCCGCACACCUAGCAGCUUACAAAGUCCUUAUUACAUGACCAUUCAUUCAUUAUCUACUGAGUACCUGCCCACCUGCCCUGUCCUUGGAGCUAGUGGUACUGUGGUGAAGAAGACUCAGUUCCUGUCCUCCUUUAGGUUAUUCUUCUUGUAGGGGAGGAAACAUCUGAUAAUUUUGUAAUUCAUUAAUCAUUUAGGCUAUUUUCUGCAUAGCACAUAAAUAAAUCUUUUAUUUUUAAUGAGCUUAAUAUUGCUCAUUAUAAAAAUGGCACAUACUCUACAUUUUAAAUUUGGAAAAUACAGAUAAGUGGCAAAUAGAAAGUGUUUUUAUAUCUCCCCAAAUUAUUUCCAUCAAAUGACUAGUAUGUCAGUCAUCACAACUCCCAGUCUCAGUGUGUAUGUACUCAUCCAUUGUCACCAUUUUGGUCAUUGGAGGUUGAAUUUAUGGCUAGCUAUCAUCUUUAGUUAAUGUAAGUCCCCUUUAUGGGAUUUACCUUUUUAGGCAUUUUUUUUUAAUAUAGUAAAUAAAUGAAUAAGUUUCUCACUAAUCUAUUUGUGGAAAUAGAAGUCAAAGGGGUAACAGAGCUCUUCCUAAAUAAAGGCCUGUCAAAUAUGGCAUCCAUAUGAGUUAUUCACUCUCCUUUAGUGGGGACAGGAAGACCUAUCACAGGAAAGGGUGUCAUUCUUGCUUUGGAAUAGUAGCCAUGAUCUCCCAGUGUGAACUCUUCAUAGAAGGAAGAAAACUCAUACUAUGGCUAACAUCAGAGGCCUAGUAGUAUAUAGGUCUUUCUUGCAAGAGACACACACCAGUACACACAUUUUUCUUUUCAUGGAUUCAGGUGGCCACUUGAAUAUCAUGACUGAGUAUGAAUGCUUAUGUCACCUUUUGACACCUGCUUUGUGAACUGAUGAAGAUUUAAGCUGUGUCAGAUCCCCACCAUGGACCAGAUUCCCCACCCAUGACUGACCGGCAAUGUCAAGAAAAACAUGCAUCAUGAUAUUUUUAUGCACAUUGUAUAAAUCCACUGUCUUCUUUUUCUUUGCAGGAAGUUCAGGAAAAAGUGUCUUUAUUUAGCCUACAGAUGGAGAUAAGUGGUUUAAUUCCUGGCCUGUUGUCUACGUUCAUUCUUCUAUCUAGUAGUGAUCGCCAUGGGCGAAAAUUCCCUAUGAUUUUAUCUUCCGUUGGUGCUCUUGCAACCAGCAUUUGGAUCUAUUUGCUGUCCUACUUUGCCUUUCCAUUCCAGCUUUUGAUUGCAUCUACCUUCAUUGGUGCAUUUUGUGGCAAUUAUACAACAUUUUAUGGAGCUUGCUUUGCCUAUAUAGUUGAUCAGUGUAAAGAAUCCAAACAAAAAACAAUUCGAAUAGCUAUAAUUGAUUUUAUGCUUGGACUCGUUACUGGACUAACAGGACUGUCAUCUGGCUAUUUUAUUAGAGAACUAGGUUUUGUAUGGUCAUUUUUAAUUAUUGCUAUAGUUCUUACUGUUAACUUGACAUAUAUUUUAUUUUUACUUGAUAAUCCAACGAAAGAGUCUUCAACUCAGAAUGUUACCAUAUCAUGUAGUGAAGGCUUUAAAGACCUAUUUUACCGAACUUACAUACUUUUUAAAAAUGCUUCUGGUAAGCAACGGCUUUUGCUCUGUUUGUUACUUUUUACAAUGAUCACUUUUUUCUUCGUAAUAAGUGGAAUUUCCCCAGUUUUUAUCCUUUAUGAAUUGGGUCCCCGUGAGACGACCUUACUUU